AGUGCCUUAAGGCAGUGUUCCCCAACCUUGGGUCUCCAGCUGUUUUCAGACUGCAAUUCCCACCAUCCCUGACCACUGGUCUUGCUAGCGAGGGAUGAUGGGAGUUGUAGUCCAAAAACAACUGGAGACCUAAGGUUGGGGAACACUGCCUUAAGGUACU